rnacentral:rRNA from 1 species
ACAGCGUACUUUUUGUAGAACGGUCCGGCGAGUUAUUGUAUGUGGCGAGGUUAAGGACUUAAGGUCCGGAGCCGCAGGGAAGCCGAGUCUUAAUAGGGCGAAUAGUCACAUGCAAUAGACCCGAAACCGGGUGACCUAUCCAUGGACAGGUUGAAACGAGAGUAAAAUCUCGCGGAGGACCGAACCCACCGGUGUUGAAAAACCGGGGGAUGAGCUGUGGAUAGCGGUGAAAUGCCAAUCGAACUCGGAGAUAGCUGGUUCUCCCCGAAAUAGCUUUAGGGCUAGCCUCAGGGUAGAGUCUAGCGGAGGUAAAGCACUGACUGGGCUAGGGGCCUUACCGGGUUACCGAACCCUAUCAAACUAAGAAUGCCGCAUAGAUGUUACCUGGGAGUCAGACUACGAGAGAUAAGUUCCGUUGUCGAGAGGGAAACAGCCCAGACCAUCAGCUAAGGUCCCAAAAUCACGGUUAAGUGGUGAAGGAUGUGGGCUUGCUAAGACAACUAGGAUGUUGGCUUAGAAGCAGCCAUUCAUUCAAAGAGUGCGUAAUAGCUCACUAGUCGAGUGAGCCUGCGCCGAAAAUUAUCGGGGCUAAACCGUGUACCGAAGCUGUGGAUUCAUACACGUUCAAUGGUGGAACCUUAAGGGAAGCAUGGAUGAUAAUUUAGCAGGAAAGGAACCUUGAUAAACAUUCAAAUCAAAGAGGAAGCUUUCCGACAAAUUCUCACCAGCUAAAGCGUGAAGACUGAAGAUAAGAGACAUAUAGCAAAAGGUUCCAGCAUUGAGCGUGUAUGAGUGGUAGGGGAGCUUACUGCACGAGGCUGAAGGUCGACCGAGAGGACGGCUGGACGAAGCAGUAGUGAGAAUGCCGGAAUAAGUAGCGAGAGUAAAGUGAGAAUCUUUACCGUCGAAAGCCUAAGGUUUCCUGGGGAAGGUUCGUCCGCCCAGGGUAAGUCGGGACCUAAGCCGAGGCCGAAAGGCGUAGGUGAUGGACAACAGGUUGAUAUUCCUGUACUACCGUUACUCGCUUGAGAGAAGUGGGGACGCAGGGGGAAUAGUUAAGCGAGCGACUGGAAGAGCUCGUCCAAGGGAGAUAGAUAGUCCGGCAGGCAAAUCCGCCGGAUGUUUCGAAGGCCCGACGGGGAGGGAAAUUAGAGUACCGAAGUAACGAUUUCCGCACUGACGAGAAAAGCCACUAUCGAGAGUAAAGGUACCCGUACCGCAAACCGACACAGGUAGGUGAGGAGAGAAUCCUAAGACGAGCGGGAGAAGCGUUGUUAAGGAACUCGGCAAAUUGACCCCGUAAGUUCGCGAGAAGGGGUGCCUCGAAGGAGGCCGCAGUGAAACGGCCCAAGCAACUGUUUAGCAAAAACACAGGUCUCUGCUAAAUCGAAAGAUGACGUAUAGGGGCUGACGCCUGCCCGGUGCUGGAAGGUUACGGGGAUCUGUUAGCGCAAGCGAAGCAGUGAACUUAAGCCCCAGUAAACGGCGGCCGUAACUAUAACGGUCCUAAGGUAGCGAAAUUCCUUGUCGGGUAAGUUCCGACCCGCACGAAUGGCGUAAUGACUUGGGCACUGUCUCGACAACGCGCCCGGCGAAAUUGUAGUACUCGUGAAGAUGCGAGUUACCCGCGACAAGACGGAAAGACCCCAUGGAGCUUUACUGCAGCCUGAUACUGGGUUUCGGUAUUUUUUGUACAGGAUAGGUGGGAGACUGAGAAGCGUGGGCGCCAGCUUACGUGGAGUCGUCGUUGGGAUACCACUCUAAAAGUACUGAGGCUCUAACCAGAGUCUGUGAACCAGGCUUGGGACACUGUCAGGUGGGCAGUUUGACUGGGGCGGUCGCCUCCCAAAAGGUAACGGAGGCGUCCAAAGGUUACCUCAGCGCGGUUGGAAAUCGCGCAUCGAGUGCAAAGGCAUAAGGUAGCCUGACUGUGAGAGGUACAUCUCGAGCAGGUACGAAAGUAGGGCUUAGUGAUCCGGUGGUAUGAAAGUGGAAUUGCCAUCGCUCAACGGAUAAAAGCUACCCUGGGGAUAACAGGCUGAUCUCCCCCAAGAGUCCACAUCGACGGGGAGGUUUGGCACCUCGAUGUCGGCUCA